rnacentral:rRNA from 1 species
AUACGUAGGGGGCGAGCGUUGUCCGGAAUGAUUGGGCGUAAAGGGCGCGUAGGCGGCCCGGUAAGUCUGGAGUGAAAGUCCUGCUUUUAAGGUGGGAAUUGCUUUGGAUACUGUCGGGCUUGAGUGCAGGAGAGGUAAGUGGAAUUCCCAGUGUAGCGGUGAAAUGCGUAGAGAUUGGGAGGAACACCAGUGGCGAAGGCGACUUACUGGACUGUAACUGACGCUGAGGCGCGAAAGUGUGGGGAGCAAACAGGAUUAGAUACCCUGGUAGUCCACACUGUAAACGAUGAAUGCUAGGUGUAGGGGGUAUCGACCCCUUCUGUGCCGCAGUUAACACAAUAAGCAUUCCGCCUGGGGAGUACGGCCGCAAGGUUGAGACUCAAAUGAAUUGACGG